rnacentral:rRNA from 1 species
CAGCCGCCGCGGGAAUACGUAGGUCCCGAGCGUUGUCCGGAUUUAUUGGGCGUAAAGCGAGCGCAGGCGGUUAGAUAAGUCUGAAGUUAAAGGCUGUGGCUUAACCAUAGUACGCUUUGGAAACUGUUUAACUUGAGUGCAAGAGGGGAGAGUGGAAUUCCAUGUGUAGCGGUGAAAUGCGUAGAUAUAUGGAGGAACACCGGUGGCGAAAGCGGCUCUCUGGCUUGUAACUGACGCUGAGGCUCGAAAGCGUGGGGAGCAAACAGGAUUAGAUACCCCAGUAGUCCCUGUCUCUUAUACA